GUACGAGCGAGACCCUUGCCUCUAGUUGCCACCAUUGCUCUCCGGAGCAGUGGGGCGAAUUAGCGGGACCGCCGCAGUUAAUGCGGAGGAAGGAAAGGGCAACGGCAGGUCAGUAUGCCCCGAAUCUCUGGGGCCACACGCGGGCUGCAAUGGUAGUGACAAUGGGUAUCCGAACCCGAAAGGGGGAGGCAAUCCUCAAACGCUACCACAGUUAUGACUGAGGGCUGCAACUCGCCCUCACGAAUAUGGAAUCCCUAGUAACUGCGUGUCAUUACCGCGCGGUGAAUACGUCCCUGCUCCUU
rnacentral:rRNA from 1 species